UGGUUUCAUCUGGAAUGGCUGAGAAAAUGGAAGAAAAAGCAUGAAGUAACCUAGAGUUCAGAAAGGCCAUGCUGGAAGAGUUUUUGGAAGACUAAACUAGCUAAAUGGAGAAAUGCUUAUUAUCAAUAAAGAUACCUGACAAUAAAAUUUUCAGACAUGACAACCAAAUAAAAGAAAAAUGGAAAAUAAAAACAGCUGUUGGUCAUGUAUAUGGCCCUUUCCGAAGAACGAAGAAGAGGGCAGAGAAUGCUAAGAAAUAAGAGUUCUUAGACCAAGAAUUAACAGCGUGAGAACUUUGUUCAAUGAUACGAUAUUGGAAAAACUAAAUUUCAUCAGUUUUGGUCCUCCUUGCCAUAAAUGAAACCAGAAGAAGCAAAAUAAAUAAGUUGUCAGGUGUGGUUUAUCA